UACGUAGGUGACAAGCGUUGUCCGGAUUUACUGGGCGUAAAGAGCGCGCAGGCGGUCGAUCAAGUCGAGUGUGAAAGCCCCCGGCUCAACUGGGGAGGGUCACUCGAUACUGAUCGACUUGAAGGCAGGAGAGGGAAGCGGAAUUCCCGGUGUAGUGGUGAAAUGCGUAGAUAUCAGGAGGAACACCGAUGGCGAAGGCAGGUCUCUGGGCAUUAACUGACGCUGAGGAGCGAAAGCAUGGGGAGCGAACAGG
rnacentral:rRNA from 1 species